CCUAUGCUUAAAGGCUUACCCCCUUACUCACCCAAACAUGACUCUAGCCCAUUCCAGCAACUACAGAUACUUCAGCAGGGGCUCCACGUGCAUUUUGCUACAUCUCCUGACACUUACAAUUAAGGAAUUCACCAUUCAAAGCAAAAAUCUGAAACAGAGCCAUGAGAAUUCUUAA
rnacentral:lncRNA from 14 species